AGUACUGGGAGCUGCUCUAAGGUGUCCCCUUCAGGAGCCUUCUCUUCUCCAGGCUGACCCAGCCCAGGUCUCUCAGCCUGUCGCCAUAGGAGAGCUGCUCCAGCCCUUGCAUCAUCUCCAUGGCCUCCUCUGGACUCACUCCAACACCUCCACGUCCUUCUUACAUUGGGGGGCCCAGAGCUGGAUGCGGGACUGCAGGGGGGGUCUCACGAGAACAGAGUAGAAGGGGAGAAUCCCUUCUCUAGACCUGCUGCUCA